rnacentral:rRNA from 1 species
CCUACGGGUGGCAGCAGUGGGGAAUAUUGGACAAUGGGCGAAAGCCUGAUCCAGCCAUGCCGCGUGUGUGAAGAAGGCCUUCGGGUUGUAAAGCACUUUCAGUGGGGAAGAAAGCCUUGGGGCUAAUACCCUCGAGGAAGGACAUCACCCACAGAAGAAGCACCGGCUAACUCCGUGCCAGCAGCCGCGGUAAUACGGAGGGUGCGAGCGUUAAUCGGGAUUACUGGGCGUAAAGCGCGCGUAGGCGGUCUGAUAAGCCGGUUGUGAAAGCCCCGGGCUCAACCUGGGAACGGCAUCCGGAACUGUCAGGCUAGAGUGCAGGAGAGGAAGGUAGAAUUCCCGGUGUAGCGGUGAAAUGCGUAGAGAUCGGGAGGAAUACCAGUGGCGAAGGCGGCCUUCUGGACUGACACUGACGCUGAGGUGCGAAAGCGUGGGUAGCAAACAGGAUUAGAUCCCCGUGUAGUC